UUGUAUAAUUCGUGAAUAUUUAAAUAACUUUUGUCAAAUUACUUCAACGCGUCACCUGAUCUUUAUUCACUACUUUUGCGUAUACUUUUCGCAGUAUGUGGACCAUGAUAUAAACCCUCAGUCUUCAAACUGAAUUUACCAAAUCCUGAGCUAUUGGAUUUCGUAUUAAAGGGUGGUCUUCGAUCAACUCAAUAUCAAGGCCAGUAGAGUACAUGCGUGAUCGACAAUCACCCGACAAUUGACGUCUUUAUCUUGUCUUUAUUAAGAAGCAUGUUCUCAAGUUAGUGAGAUGAAUUAACGCUCCUGGGAUUUACUUUACAUGGCCUUUGGUUAUAAUCUUGCUUAUGGAUAUUUUUAAUCAUUUCUUAAGUACUUCUUCAGCUUUUUCUCCAUCUUCAUCAUUUCCUGAGGCAAAAUGACUUGUCACUAGUCGAUCAGCGUAACUAAGAAGGCGAAGAAAGAAAAUAAAAGAAGAAUAUGAAGAAGAAGAAGAAGAAGAGCCAAGUGGCAGAUGGCGGCAUGUAACAUUGAAAAAGAUACACAGGAGUUACAUUUCAUUCACGCUUGCCAUCAAAUUCGCGAUGAGGCAAAAAUCCAGAGUUGAUGUCAUGUUAAAUUUUUGCCUGAUGAAUCUGGCACGUGGUUUCUUCUUCCUUAUUAUACAUAUGUUCUAUCUCAACUUGUCUUGCUCAUAUUCCUAUAAGGAUGUAUACACCACAAAGACCCUUGUUGUUCCAUCUCCAAUCACUAAACUUAAGACCUCCUAAGGCUGUAACGAGCAAAUGUUGCUCUUAGUCUGACAAAAAAUUUCACAUGUCUUUUUGUUAUGUACCAUUCAAUAAAUUAAGGUAACUCUUCCGUAUGAGUUGGACAAAAAAAGUCAUCAAAUAAAUCUUUAUAUGAUCCUUUGACUGAUUUUACUACAAAAAAAAACUUACUGGUUGUUUGAAGGUCAUAAAUAAAAAUAAGGAAGUAUCAUUGACAACAAAUGACUGAACAAUGAGUAUAAACGAUUGACUAUAACAAUAGAUAAAAAAGGAAUUUUUUUUGCCAUUGAAAGUAAAUGGUUUAAACUAAAGUUGAUUACAUAUACAUGAAUACUGAUGCUCCAGAAUCUCUGAAGCUUAAUAAAAUUCUUUCCAAGUGUAUAUUUAAUCUCGAAGAACAUUAUCCCAUAAUUAUCACAAGUCAUUAAGUAAUUGCUGGAGCUGGAAUAUCGAUUAAUCGUUCAAGCGUGCAAGAGUGUCAUCAACCAUUAGCAUCUAGCUGUAGAAAUAUCUGUAAAUAUGUGAUAGCCGUAGUAUUUAUCAUUAAAAAUGAGCUUUUUAUUAUAAGAAAAUACCAUUUUUAACAUUCUUU